GUUCUUCUAAAAUCUCACUUCGACAAUAGAAACAUGAAGCAAGGUUGAUGAACUAGAAGUGGAUCACCAACAAUUUGCAGCCAUUUUGAAUGCUCAUGGGAGUUGUAAUUUUUUUCAUGGUAAAGCUCUAUAGUGAUUUAUCUGUAGAAGGAACUGUUCUGUAGAGGUACUUCAACAGACAGUUCAUAGAAACUCUGGCUUUACUAUUUUCCCUGGGGAAAAAUAAUAAUUGUCUCAAAUUCAAGACUGAGCUCAGUACAGAUUUCAGAUGAAUAAAGCUGAUGCUUUCAUCUUUUUCCCCUACCAAAAAAUUUGCUAUUUUAAUCUGCAACUUUUGCAUAGUGAAUUAUAGUAGUUUCCUCUUGUGGGUUCCUUUAGCUAUGAUUUUGGUGGUAUGUGACUGGUUUCAGUUAUUUUUCAGGUGGGUGAAUUGUAUGUAAUUAAUAGUUGAUCAUGUCAGAAACUUGAGAAUCAUUCUUGAUUUCUUGCCCAAACCUCACAUUCACUCACCAAGUCUGCAUAAUUAUCUUUUGGAUAUUUUUCUGGUCAGUUCACUUUUCUCCCUUCCCACUGCCACUACCCUCGUGUAUGUUGAUAUUCUUUGUUUUUUGUUUUUUUUUUGAACAAAUUUCUGCUGGUUCUAUUCUUACCUAUUCAUGGUUCCCCUAUUCCCCAAGCCCAAUCCAUUCUUCUCAAAAGAUUCUACAUCUUCUGAAACAUUGGUCUCAUCAUUUAGAAUCUAUGAAUGGUUUACUGUCAUUUUGAAAAUAACCAAAGUAUAUAGGGUCACUCUGUUGAGAGAUAGUUUGAAUCUUUACAUUGAAAGUAUAUUUUGGGGGUCUGAGGCUGUGGUUCAGUGGUAGAGUGUUUGCCUGGCAUGUGUGAGGCACUGGGUUCGAUUCUCAGCAACACAUAUAAACAAAUAAAAUAAAGGUCCAUACAUCUAAUUUUUUUUUUUAAAUAUUUUUGCUGAGUAUAAAAUUCUAGAUUUAAAAAUGGGGUUGA
rnacentral:lncRNA from 1 species